rnacentral:rRNA from 1 species
UGGGGAAUUUUGGACAAUGGGGGAAACCCUGAUCCAGCCAUGCCGCGUGAGUGAAGAAGGCCUUCGGGUUGUAAAGCUCUUUCAGCCGGAACGAAACGGUCACGGCUAAUACCUGUGAUCACUGACGGUACCGGAAGAAGAAGCACCGGCUAACUACGUGCCAGCAGCCGCGGUAAUACGUAGGGUGCGAGCGUUAAUCGGAAUUACUGGGCGUAAAGCGUGCGCAGGCGGUUUUGUAAGUCAGAUGUGAAAUCCCCGGGCUUAACCUGGGAACUGCGUUUGAAACUACAAGGCUAGAGUGUAGCAGAGGGGGGUGGAAUUCCACGUGUAGCAGUGAAAUGCGUAGAGAUGUGGAGGAACACCGAUGGCGAAGGCAGCCCCCUGGGUUAACACUGACGCUCAGGCACGAAAGCGUGGGGAGCGAAACAGGAUUAGAUACCCCUGGUAGUCCACGCCCUAAAACUAUGUCAACUAGUUGUCGGGCCUUAACGGGCUUGGUAACGCAGCUAACGCGUGAAGUU